rfam:Enterococcus durans ATCC 6056 genomic scaffold acyDB-supercont2.4, whole genome shotgun sequence.
AUUAACGGAAUAGCGCCUGAUCUGUAGCGACAGAUGACGAGGAAGAGGUUUAUCGAAAUUUCGGCGGGUGACCUCAGGGAAUGCACUCUAUAGGAUAUUCAAAAAAACUAUCUGUGAGGAUAGAACAAAGGAAUAUUCAUGCAGCUG